rnacentral:lncRNA from 1 species
CCUGGAGAACGGGCCCAGUGUAUCUGUAGACUAUAACACUUCCGACCCCCUCAUCCGAUGGGAUUCCUAUGACAACUUCAAUGGGCAUCGUGAGGAUGGCAUGGAAGAAGUGGUGGGACACACCCAAGGGCCGCUGGAUGGGAGCCUGUAUGCCAAAGUGAAGAAGAAGGACUCCCUGAAUGGCAGUUCGGGGCCUAUCACCACCGCAAGGCCUGCCCUGUCAGCCACUCCCAACCAUGUGGAACACACACUGUCUGUGAGCAGCGACUCCGGCAACUCCACAGCCUCCACUAAGACAGACAA